ACUGAGUUUGUAGUGAAUAUGUUUCUACUUAUUUAUGUAUCAUUAAUAUUAUUAUUAUUGAUUAGAAGAAACCAAUGGAUCCUUCUGAGCCCGCAC